rnacentral:lncRNA from 1 species
CAUAUUUGAUAAUUUAAACAUUAUACAUUCUACAGUUGCCCAUAAUAAGUAAAUAUGCAGAUGUGCUAAGUAUUUGCUUGGCGAUUUGUAUUGCUGCCACCUGAUCAUAUUCUCACAUCCACCGAAUAAAGCAGGCUCACUUUACACAUCACAUGCUGAAACAAAAAAUUUUGAUCAAAAACUUAUAAAGGAAUAAAAUUUUGCCAACAAGUUAAAAGGAAGAUCUUGGUAUAUAAAUAAACGAAAGGUCUGAUUCUUCUUACAAAUAAAUCUGUUACUUGAUCCAACAAUAGCAUUGAACUGAAGUUGUUAGAUACUCGUAUGAAUAAAAGCUAAAGUACAAAGCUAUUUCCUUGGAUAUCAUCACAACACUUACAUCCACAAACUAUUUACUUGAUAGCAUAAAUUCUUGCCAUAUAUUCAUGAAAAUCAUAAUGUAACUAAUAAAUCAUAAGUUAAACACUAUAAGCUUUCUAAUAUUUAGAAUAAAACAAAUAAAUUAUAAGUUGUAAUUUAUCCUAAUGAUUAACAAACUUGCAUCAAAACUGAAGGCUAAUAACACUAGGAAAUUGAAGCAGAAGAAAUGAACUGAAUAAAAUAGGAAUGGUCUGAUAGGAGUAGUUAGUUAAACAAACCAAGCAUGUUAAAAUCUGUUGGAUCCAACUUCAAACAAAAGAAGCAACAAAUUAAAACGCGCAAAACUUUUUCUAAGGCAUGAAUUCCACUAGUAUCUAUAUUAUCAGUAAAAACUACAAGAGAAUAUAUCACAAAUUACUCUUAGUUACUUAAUGUAACCUGGAGAAAAGAUGUGAAAAGAUUUAGGAGAUGAGUUAACAAGCAUCACUUACCACUCAAUGCCAUCAUAACAACAUAUCAAUCUGUUAAACCAAAAUAUGCAUAAAUUAGCAUUCAAUCAAUUUGGCUUCAUCAAAGUUUUUGUCCCUAGAAUUACUCCACAGUAAGAGAUCCUCUUAUGGGAACACAUACCAAUGCAAGAUAUAAAAAAUAAGGUGAAUCAAAUGUGAAUACCAUUUCUGAACAUAGCUUUAAACCAAAUAUGAAUACCAUCUCUAAACAUACCUAUAAAUGAAAUAAAUAAGCACUACUUAAAGAUGCAAUAUUGUUACCUUUAGAUAAAACACCAUAUUGAAUAAAAAAUUUAUUCGAAUUUAUAUGCAUUUGUUGCUAAAUAAGUAGCAGUAUUUGCCUCGACUACAUCAUCAAUUAGAUGGUCUGUAGCUAGCUAUAUCCCAACUCUUAGUAUGGCUCAUUCUCAUGACCUUCAUCUUUCACAACUUCUUCUGUAUCAUAUAAAUCUCUUAGCUUUAGGUUUACUAAAAAUACUUCAUCUUUAAUUGAAAACAUCAUCUACACAGUACACCAUAUUUAUGCUUGAAAUACUUCGAUGUAAGGCUCAUAUUCUUCACCCUCAAUCUCGAAUAAUUAUAUAGAAAGUUGGAGUUCAUUUUCUUUUUUCCAAAUAAAUAAAACAUUAGUAGCAUACAAAUAAUUUACCUGCCUAAUGAUCUUUGUAUGCUAGAAUUAUUCAAAUUUGAAGGCAUAUAUAAAAUAUGCUCAAACACUUAUGCGAGCCGUACAUAAACUAGUUUUUACAACAAAAUGAGUCAACUUACCUGAUAGCGGGUUUGAAGUUACACCAUGUCCAGUACUCUUAGAAACGCGCACAUCUGCAAUAAUGAUAUGAUGCAAGACAUAUUACUAGAGGAAGUUUUUAUUUGCAGUAAUUCAUUUUCUAAGGAAAGUGAAAAACUAAACUAUUAAAGUAUGAGCUAGAGAAGGAAAAAUUUGUCACCAUAGCAAGUAAAAUAUAUGCAUUCAUUAAAGACCUUGUACUGUCUUGAUAUUCCUCAAUAUAGAAGUGAGAAAAAUAUUAGGAAGUUCCCUGAUUGAAUAAUCGACAGAAUAAAAU